rnacentral:tRNA from 2 species
GUCCCUGUAGUUCAAUGGACAGAACAGGGGUCUCCGGAGCCUCAGAUGCAGGUUCGAUUCCUGCUAGGGACA